GAGGGUAUAGCUCAAGUGGUAGAGCGCAUCUUAGCAUGCACGAGGUCCUGGGUUCAAUCCCCAGUAUCUCCU
rnacentral:tRNA from 1 species